UGCAAGUACAAUGUUAUCCGGUAUGGU
rnacentral:sRNA from 1 species